rnacentral:snRNA from 1 species
AAAUGUCACUCUCCAUUUGUCACCCCAUUGAUCGCCAGGGUUGAUUCAGCUGAUCUGGCUGGCUAGGCGGGUGUCCCCCUCCUCCCUCACCGAUCCAUGUGCGUCCCUCCCGAAGCUGCGUGCUCCGUCGAAGAGGACAACCUUCCCCCCAGAGGAGAGGACUGGUCUUCGGUCAAGGGUAUACGAGUAGCUGCGCUCCCCUGCUAGAACCUCCAAACAAGCUCUCAAUUAAAUGUCUCUCUCAGGAGGAAAGUCUGCUCGAACUCUAAUGCUAGGAUAGUUCUCUCUUUCACACAUUUUCAAAACAUAGUAUAUUUUU